rnacentral:misc_RNA from 1 species
GAUGAAGAACGUAGCGAAAUGCGAUACUUGGUGUGAAUUGCAGAAUCCCGUGAACCAUCGAGUCUUUGAACGCAAGUUGCGCCCGAAGCCACUAGGCCGAGGGCACGCCUGUCUGGGCGUCACACGUCGUUGCCCCCCCCCCCAUCUACUCCUUCGGGAUUGCGGGGGGCGGAUGAUGGCCUCCCGUGCGCCUAGCCGCGCGGUUGGCAUAAAUACCAAGUCCUCGGCGACGCACGCCACGACAAUCGGUGGUUGCGAAACCUCGGUUGCCCGUCGUGUGCGUUCGUCGCGCAUCGAGGGCUCGAAAAAAUGCUCGGCUCCGGCUCGGCUUUCAACGCGACCCCAGGUCAGGCGGGGUUACCCGCUGAAUUUAAGCAUAUCAAUAAGCGGAGGA